rnacentral:rRNA from 1 species
AUGGGCGCAAGCCUGAUCCAGCAAUACCGCGUGUGUGAAGAAGGCCUUAGGGUUGUAAAGCACUUUCAAUUGGGAGGAAAACCUGUCGGUCAAUACCCGGCAGCUUGACAUUACCUUUAGAAGAAGCACCGGCUAACUCCGUGCCAGCAGCCGCGGUAAUACGGAGGGUGCAAGCGUUAAUCGGAAUUACUGGGCGUAAAGCGUGCGUAGGCGGUUCGUUAAGUCAGAUGUGAAAGCCCCGGGCUUAACCUGGGGAACUGCAUUUGAAACUGGCGGACUUGAGUUGAGUAGAGGGGAGUGGAAUUUCAGGUGUAGCGGUGAAAUGCGUAGAUAUCUGAAGGAACACCAGUGGCGAAGGCGACUCCCUGGACUCAAACUGACGCUGAGGUACGAAAGCGUGGGUAGCAAACAGGAUUAGAUACCCUGGUAGUCCACGCUGUAAACGAUGUCAACUAGCCGUUGGUCCUAUUUACAGGAUUAGUGGCGCAGCUAACGCAUUAAGUUGACCGCCUGGGGAGUACGGCCGCAAGGUUAAAACUCAAAUAG